UGACGUAAUUUACCUGAACUGCUGCUUAAU
rnacentral:piRNA from 1 species